AUAUGAACUCGGGGUUUUAAAAGCU
rnacentral:piRNA from 1 species